UAUGCACUAUUUUCUUCAGUACGAAAGGACCAAGAAAAUAGGACCCAUAUUCACAACAAGUCCUUCCUCUCUCGAAACAAUAUUAAACCCGGAGUAUCCUCUCCCCCAAGAACAAGGU
rnacentral:rRNA from 1 species